rnacentral:tRNA from 1 species
GCUCCCAUGGCGUAGUGGUCACUGCACUCGCCUUGCACGUGGGAGACCCGGGUUCGAUUCCUGGCGGGGUCA